AACUGCACGCUGUGAGUACGACGGAAGCAACGACGACGUCUCCCCGGAGGAGCAGAGAGGGGCCAGGUAAGCGGGCGGGCCGGGGCAGGCCCGCUGCGCGGUGGGCAGGGCGUCCCUCUCUGCCGCGGAGCUGGGUGCCCGUGGACAGAGCCCGCAUGUGAGUGGGCAGCUCUGGCCAGGUGCCAACGAGCAGGACGGCGUUCCGGGCGCGUCGGGCUGCUGGGCCUGCCUGCCGUCUCUCCCCAGGGGCCCCCGGGAUCGCGCUCCCCGUCGUCUCGGGUGUGAUCGUCCUGCUCGCUGCCUACCUCGUCUACAAAUACGCCCGGUGCGGUUGGUCCCGGAGCGCGGAGCGGCUGGGGGUGGCGGAGCCAGACACCGCUCAUCGCCCUCCUCGCCUCUUCUGUAAACCAGGAGCAGCUCCUGACGACACGCCCCAAAGGUAGAGAUCGUCGCUCGCGCCUGCGCCCUGCCGUCCCCUGACACCCGGACGCCCGUCUGACCCCAAGCUCUCAGGGUCCCCGGCCAGCUCCGACGGCCACUGGCUGCUCUCCGUCCCACUCCUCACGGCCACCGCGCAGCCCUGUGGUCAGUCCCGACCGUCCUCCAGGGCCUCUCGCUGAGCUGCCCCUGGCCUCGGCUCUCCCUGCUCCUGAGACCGCGCGGUGCGUUUGCGCCCCACCCUGCCUCCCCAAGGUGGCCGUGGUGACCUUGACCUCUCUCUCUGUGCUCUCCUCUGCUUCCCUCCCCUCAGCUCCAGCUCUUCCAAGGAGCCCGAGGAGGGGGCCACAGUCAGAUCGACCGGGGAAGAUACCAUGUCUUCCACUCAGGACAUCGAGACAGCCGUGCCCCUGCAACCGCAGACACUCGGAAAGGAGGACCCCGGGACGGCUUCCGGAAGGGGCCUGAACGCGGGGUGCGUCUGCAGCUGGGAGGAGCUGCCCCUCUGCUCGGUGAGUGUCCCCCACGCCCCUCUCUCUCCACCCUGUUCCUCUAGUUUUGCCGGCCUGCUGUCACCCACUCCUUCCUUCCUCUGCAUUUCGGGCCAAGCCCUUUCUGGCCAGGAAACCCCAGCCCGCGACUUCUGCUGUCCUCGGAUUCCGCCUGGCCCUGGGCUGGGAAAGCUAAGGGCAGAGCUGUCCAGACGGCGGGGCCAGCAUGGCACCGGGACCUCCUGCCACUGCUGGCCUCGGGCGGGUGUCUUCCCGCCCGGUCCUCAUUUCUGCAUCCCACGAUGGGCAUCACACACUGCAGUCCCGGUGCUGUCAAGAAGCGGGUACGGGGCCUGCUGGAGACCCCACCCCAAUAUGCAGGACGCAGCAAGUCCCGCGGGGACUCAGGGAGCAGUCACUGAAGUUACACUUUUGUCCUCUGUGAUUCUGUGUUUUAAAAUUAUGGUAAAAUUCAUAUAGGGAAAAUCACCUGUGUGUGUGUGUGUGAGAGAGAGAGAGAGAGAGAGAGAAAGAAAGACAGGGCCUCGCUGUGUAGCCCAGGCUGGACUUGAACUCACCCCAAUCCUCCUGCCUCAGCCUCAAGUGCUGGGGCGAUGGGCGUGCGCCCCACAGUGGGCUGAGAAAUCACCGGCUUAGUGCGCUGCUCAGAGCACUCCCCGCUCUGCUCUGUAGUCCCAGAAUGUUGUCACCCCAAACGGACGGACACGGCCUUUCUUCACUCCCCUUACCCCUCCCAGCCCAGCCCUCCGAGCUGUCACUGAGCACGUGGACAGCUGUCCAUGCGGAUUAUCCGUCACCACUUUACAAGUCAUCGCAAACGGGAGGCGGACGCUGGGUCUGGACCUCGGUCUCGCACGCCUGUAAUCCCAGGAGGAUCCCUUUUUUUUUUUUUCUGUCUGUCUGUCUGAGACAGGGUCCCACUGUGCAGUUCAGGCUGGCCUUGAGCUCACUUUGUAGCCCAGGCUGGUCUCGAACUCACAGCGAUCCAGGAGCAUCACUUCACCGAGGGUUCCAGGCAGGCCUGGGCUGCAGAGAGUGAGACCCUGUCUCAAAGAACAAAGACAAAAAUAAAGUAAAAUGAUAUAAAGCGAGAGGUGUCAUUUAC
rnacentral:lncRNA from 1 species